GUUAUAGCCUGUUAGUCACUGGUGCAGUGCUGUGCCUUGGCCAGCAGCACUUCUACUCUGCUGGGUGAAAAACCCUGGGGUUUUCAAGCUGCUGAGGGUUAAGUGUUGUCCCAGCUGAUCUUCAUGGCAGGUUUCCUUCUGAUGCCAUCUUUUGUGAUUGAAAGAAAAAUCUCAUUAGCUGAUUUAUCUGUCCUGUAAUGAAAAUACAACUGCCACAUUGGUUGCAGCUUUUGCUACCCAAGACUCUGUAAUUGUGUCACAGAAGAAACCUGGGCAGAAACUUGCCUCCUUAUUGCUGCUCCUUGUUCUCUUAACCCAUUUCACAAUUCUUACCUGGUUUGCAGUUUAAGGAGAAAAGUUGCUGACAGAGGGCCUGUGUAGGAUGUAAAUGCACCAGUGCUAAACUGGGUUUCACUGCAAGUCUUCACUGGAGUUUCACCUCUUCAGCUGAAUGUGCCUUGGACAUUGUUUUCUACAUCAGAGUCCAACACUCUGCCCUCACCCGUCCUUGCAGUAGCCACAGCCUGAGGAGCUCUCCCUGGCCGAAGCAGUGACACCUGGAGCUGACAGACAUUGCUGGAACCAACACUCCAGCUGUCUGAAGAGAGAUGCUGCAGUGCAUCCGAAGUUACUUUAUGUUGAAGUGUUCAUGUCCAGGUUAAAUGGGGCUCUGAGCACCUGGUCUGGUGGAAGGUGUCCCUGCCCAAGGCUGGAGGUUGGGACUGGAUGAUCUUUAAGGUCCCUUCCAGCCCAACCCCCUCUUUGGUUCUCUAAUGUUCCUGCAUGAGCAGAAGGCUUGCCUCUAAGGAUAUCACUGCACCAGCAGCUAGCUGAGAUUAAAAUGCAAGAAAUACUUGCAAUCAAACCAGUUUAAUUCAUGUAUAUUUGUACAAUUUGUAUAAAAAAAAAGAAAAAAAAGGAAAAAUAGGUACUUGCAGACAUUAACAUAAAGACCAAACAAUAUUUUCUAUUUAUUUAAAAAGCUUUAAACAUACAGAAGCAAACCCCUAAUUAUAAAUGCAUCAUUAUGCAUAGAUUUUACUGUUUACACCAUACUGCUGGCUGCUUUUUUCAUCCAGGAAUCUAUUUAAACUCCAAGAAUUUCUUAAACAUUCCUCUGAGCUUCCUGGCCUCAGAACUGCUGUCUAUCUUAUCAAGUCAUUGACCUCCAGCUGAAAACAUUGCUCUAAAAAAUGUCAAAUCUUUAAUAAACAAUUAAAAGUGCAUUAACUGUAGAAUUUUUUAAUUUCAUAAAUGUUUAAACAAGUCAGUGAAAAACACCACCCUGUGAAUUAGCUUUUUGCAUGAUUGAUUGUAAAGUAUCUUUUUAAUAAGAUUCUGAUAUUGCAAACUUUAGUCUUUUCUAUUUUACUCCGUGCAACUGCUCAGUGGCACGAUGUGUAGUAUUCCUGAAAUACCCACUGCAGUACAUUACACUAUUUUACAUUUUAACUGUGUAUACAAUGCUCUGGCUGCAUAUCCCUGUUCCUUCUUACAACAAAAUAAUUUAGCUCAAUGAACAAAAGCCCACUUUCUAAAAGCUGUUAUAGUUUGUCUUGUAUUUUGCAGGAGACAAAAUGCCUAUUUCAUUCUAAACAAAUUCAAAAGAAUGUAACGAACUUCCCGGUAGCUAAAAACUAGGGUUGGGUUUUGUGGUUUCUUUUUCUUUUUUUCUGUACACAGGUUUAGAUAAAAAAAGUGAUGGCUAUUCUGCUUAAGUGUCCUUGAUAAGAGAAUACUGCCUCUUACAACAUCUAUAUCCAAUUGUAUCUAUUACUUCAAUGAUGUCUAGCAAAUAAUAAUCAAUGAAUGGUUUCAUAAACAACAGGUGAUUAAAGUAAAGGAUUUAUUAUAAUCUGCUUACAGUUGUUUGCAAAGACAGACAUACGUUUUUGCAUAAAGAUAUAAAUUGCUUUUUAAAACUAAUUUAGUGUGUUUAAUUAUAUGAAGUUUCUGUGAAUUAUGAAUUGUACCAAACCAAGAUUAAAAGUAAUAAGGUACAAAAAUAGGAGCAAACAGACAACAAUUUGGACUGGGACAG